GACGAACGCUGGCGGCGUGCCUAAUACAUGCAAGUCGAGCGCAGGAAACUGACGGAACUCUUCGGAGGGAAGGCAGUGGAAUGAGCGGCGGACGGGUGAGUAACACGUAAGGAACCUGCCUCAAGGAUUGGGAUAACUCCGAGAAAUCGGAGCUAAUACCGGAUAGUUCAACGGACCGCAUGGUCCGCUGAUGAAAGGCGCUUCGGCGUCCCCUUGAGAUGGCCUUGCGGUGCAUUAGCCAGUUGGUGGGGUAACGGCCCACCAAGGCGACGAUGCAUAGCCGACCUGAGAGGGUGAUCGGCCACACUGGGACCGAGACACGGCCCAGACUCCUACGGGAGGCAGCAGUAGGGAAUCUUCCACAAUGGACGGAAGUCUGAUGGAGCAACGCCGCGUGAGUGAUGAAGGUUUUCGGAUCGUAAAACUCUGUUGUAAGGGAAGAACACGUACGAGAGGGAAUGCUCGUACCUUGACGGUACCUUACGAGAAAGCCACGGCUAACUACGUGCCAGCCGCCGCGGUAA
rnacentral:rRNA from 1 species